GAUGAACGCUGGCGGCGUGCCUAAUACAUGCCAGUCGAGCGAACAGACGAGGAGCUUGCUCCUCUGACGUUAGCGGCGGACGGGUGAGUAACACGUGGAUAACCUACCUAUAAGACUGGGAUAACUUCGGGAAACCGGCGCUAAUACCGGAUAAUAUAUUGAACCGCAUGGUUCAAUAGUGAAAGACGGUUUUGCUGUCACUUAUAGAUGGAUCCGCGCCGGAUUAGCUAGUUGGUAAGGUAACGGCUUACCAAGGCAACGAUGCGUAGCCGACCUGAGAGGGGGAUCGGCCACACGGGAACUGAGACACGGUCCAGACUCCUACGGGAGGCAGCAGUAGGGAAUCUUCCGCAAUGGGCGAAAGCUUGACGGAGCAACGCCGCGUGAGUGAUGAAGGUCUUCGGAUCGUAAAACUCUGUUAUUAGGGAAGAACAAAUGUGGAAGGAACUAUGCACGUCUUGACGGUACCGAAUCAGAAAGCCACGGCUAACUACGUG
rnacentral:rRNA from 1 species